rnacentral:rRNA from 1 species
AUUGAACGCUGGCGGCAGGCUUAACACAUGCAAGUCGAGCGAGCGGCGGACGGGUGAGUAAUGUCUGGGAAACUGCCUGAUGGAGGGGGAUAACUACUGGAAACGGUAGCUAAUACCGCAUACCAUCAUAUGUUCCCAGAUGGGAUUAGCUAGUAGGUGGGGUAAUGGCUCACCUAGGCGACGAUCCCUAACUGGUCUGUGAGGAUGACCAGCACCACUGGAACUGAGACACGGUCAAGACUCCUACGGGAGGCAGCAGUGGGGAAUAUUGCACAAUGGGCGCAAGCCUGGUGCAGCCAUGCCGCGUGGGUGAAGAAGGCCUUCGGGUUGUAAAGCACUUUCAGCGAGGAGGCGUGACUCGCAGAAGAAGCACCGGCUAACUCCGUGCCAGCCGCCGCAGUAAUUC